UGGGGAAUCUUGCGCAAUGGGCGAAAGCCUGACGCAGCCAUGCCGCGUGAAUGAUGAAGGUCUUAGGAUUGUAAAAUUCUUUCACCGGGGACGAUAAUGACGGUACCCGGAGAAGAAGCCCCGGCUAACUUCGUGCCAGCAGCCGCGGUAAUACGAAGGGGGCUAGCGUUGCACGGAAUUACUGGGCGUAAAGGGAGCGUAGGCGGACAUUUAAGUCAGGGGUGAAAUCCCGGGGCUCAACCUCGGAAUUGCCUUUGAUACUGGGUGUCUUGAGUGUGAGAGAGGUAUGUGGAACUCCGAGUGUAGAGGUGAAAUUCGUAGAUAUUCGGAAGAACACCAGUGGCGAAGGCGACAUACUGGCUCAUUACUGACGCUGAGGCUCGAAAGCGUGGGGAGCAAACAGGAUUAGAUACCCUGGUAAUCCACGCCGUAAACGAUGAUUGCUAGUUGUCGGGAUGCAUGCAUUUCGGUGACGCAGCUAACGCAUUAAGCAAUCCGCCUGGGGAGUACGGUCGCAAGAUUAAAACUCAAAUGAAUUGACGGGGUCAUAGCUGUUUCCUG
rnacentral:rRNA from 1 species